ACUGCUGUAUUUGUGAAAUUAAUACAUUUACAGUAAUUGCUAAUCUUCAAACUCUGGAAGAAUGUCGUCAAAGCUGUUUACUGUACUUGUGUUAGUCUGUGUGUUCUGGUUAGAGAAUACUUAUGCCUGGUGGGGCAGAGAUAACACUUAUGUUGUCAAUAGAACAGAUCGAACAAUAAGAGUAUCCUUGGCAUAUGGUGGUCAUGCAUACAGAAGAAAUGUUGGACCUGGAUCAUGGACAAAAAUCGAAACGGGAAAAGGCUCGUUAACUUUAUGCGUAGAGAAUGAUGUUUGUCGUAGAGCGAGUACCGACACAAGCUUUAUCGUCGAGUCAUAUGGAGGAAGUGUAAGGCUUUACCAGUCUGUAUAUGGUGACAUUCAUUCAAUAGAUUGGUAAAAAAUUAACAACGCUGAUUUGAAAAUCUAUAUAACCUGUAUUUGAAAAUAUCCACUCAUGUUUUAUUAAUUAGAGAGUGUGUUAUCUAUGACAUAUUUCAAAAUAUCUUAUGCAAUUUAGAAGAUCUGUACUGAAAUUAAAUAUUUGUUUCUUUUAA